GCACAUGUGGAAAAAUUAGAAUGAGUAAGGGUGACAGAUUCCAUAACCAGUUGGACAUAAGUGAACUAGGUAGGCUUUUACAAUGAUCUAGUCAUUUCAUUGUUGCCACAAGCUUUUUAUUCCAGAUCUGUGUAAUCUUCACAUGGUGCAGUGCCUUCGGUCUUUUAGGAAUUGAUUGGAAGGUGAAUGUUGGCCUUCUGUUUAUGGACACUAGGAUCAGUUUCUAUUUUUAAGCUCCCUGAGGAAUGAGAGGGAGAGUUCUCCGUCGUGAUUCCAACCACAGUUUACACACCACCAAAGGUAGAUGUUAAGCAAGCACUUGAUGUAUGAAUGCCGCAGUUAGAAAACAAAAAACAGCCUAUCCCAACACUUUUCACAAAAUUGGUGGGGACUUCAAUUAGGCUUGCUUGAAGAAUUCUCUGCCCGAUUAUCAUCAUAUCAUCUGUAGGACUAGGGGCAUCAAUACACUUGGCCUCUGCUAUUCUACCAUAAGAAAUGCCUACCGUUCCAUCCCUAGACUUCAUUUCAGGAAGUCUAAUCAUCUGGCUGUUCUUCUACUGGCAUGCAGGUAGAGGCUAAAGAGAAAGGCAUCAGAGGUAAGGGCAACAAAGAGGUGGUUGCAAGGGACAGAAGAGUGGCUAUGGGAUUGCUUCAGGUCAGUGGACUAUGCCUUGUUUAAGGACUCAUCAGAUGAUCUGUCACAGACUUUAUAAAGACACUCAUGGACGACCGUGUCCCCACAAAAAAAUUCAGAGUCUUCCCCAACCAGAAGCCUUGGAUCAAGCAAGAGAUUUGCAAUCUGCUGAGGGUGAGAUUGGCAGCAUUCGGGUCUAGCCACCAAGGAAAGUACAAGAAGUCCAGCUAACCUUGGAGUCUUGAUGUUACAGUUCCACAUCAGGGAGAACGUAGUUUCGGAAUAAAAGGUGCCCAUUCAUGAUUAAGAUAAAGAAGGAUAAAGAAGGCAAAGAGAAUUCGAGGGAUGAACCAUGCUGCUGCAUUGGACAGUCAACGCAGAUGGAGUGAGCCAUUAAAAGAGGAGAAGUUGAGGCAGGGGAGUUCGGAUGCCUGUACAACUGGCCUGGGUGUGAGGUUGGAUCGCUUUGGGUGCUGAGCCUAUUUGGAGAAAUCAAGAGCAGCAAAACCUGGGCUGGAGCGAGUUCCUGAGCGGCACGUUUCAGGCCCGGAGCCUUUCACUACAGCAGUGCCCAGGCCCUAGUAUGAGGACACUGAGGCGAUGAAGACUGCUCCCCAGCUGAUGUGCUCCAUGCCUGCUAAUAUGAUGGAUUGAUACCCAGGCUUGGGCCUACUUUAGGCUGCUCCGGGGUUCGGACCUAAGGACUUACUUUGGUUUGGGAUGUUUUUGUUUACUUCUAUUGUUUGCAUGAUUUGUGUUUUUAGCCCUUUUCACUGUGCAUAGGGUGUUAGUCCUUAUUUCAUUUCAAUUGGGUUCUUUGGGUUUCUUGCUUUGUGGCUGCCUGUAAGCAAUCAAAUGUCAAAGAUGUAUAAUUUAUACAUUCUUUGAUAAUAAAUGUACUUUAAACUUUGGAUGUCUUCUAUCAGAGGAUUGCCGGUGAGAGCUGUGGGGUCUAUUUCCGUGUAUAUGUGUUUAUAUUAUAUAUAUAUAAAGCAGAUACAGAUAUCCAGUCAGUAACACAAUUAAGGUUACAGGAAAAGAGCAAGAAAAUGGCCAAGAUGGAUUAUCCUAUAAACUGUGAUCCUAUUAAGUGGAGGAGCAGACUGAACAGAAUAGUUUACUCCUGCUCUUAGUCCUCAUUGUCUUACUUCCACAAGCUAUUUGCAGUCAUUUCCAUUCAUGUAUACAAUCACAGAACACAGUAAAGUUUGUUUUAUUAUCCCUAUUCAUAAUGUUUGUGUGUAAGGAUUGUUCUUCAAUUGACUUGAGACAGAUCAAAACAUUUGGCAUUGCAGCUUGCUUUUAUGAACUGAAGGGUAGAAUAAGGCAGACAGAUGGUGGUGUAAUUAGAGGUCUCAAGUGACAUGGCUUUAACGUGCUUGGAAAGCAAAGCAGAUUUGACUGUGAAUAGUGUAGGUUUAAGUUGGUCAAAAAAGAAUGAAUUCUAAUUAAUACUUGACACUUGCAGAAUAUUAUACAUCCUGAUGCCUUGCAAAGACAAUACCCUGAAGCAAAACAGGGAAAUGCAUUGCCAAAUUUGUUUUUCUCUAUAAUAGAAAAUUACUGCAGCAAUCCUUGCAGAUGUUUUGAGUUUGAUGGAUAACAUAAGGAUCCUUGCUAAAGUGUGCAGUUUGUUGUUAUUAAACGUUACAAAUUUCAGUGUGGCAAAAAAAAAGCACGUGGUAAAAAAGUCAGCAAUUUAGCGACUGCAAAUUAAAACCCUAAUCCCACUGGUUACUCU